ensembl:lincRNA
CCCUAACAAAGAUGUGAUGUGUGAAGGAUGCUUACUUACCCAGACUAUGACCUUUGCCAUUCUAGGGAGAGUUACAGGAAUAGUGCAGGGUUUAAGAUAUUAUCCUACACAGAUGGAAGACCAACCAGAGCAGCCCUAAUUUUCCAUGAGUUUUUCCCACUUCAGGACAUGGAACUGAUGGCAGCAGGAGGCAGACAAAUCCUAGGCAGACAGAGCCAGGUCCAUGGUAAAACCAGACCUUCAAGCCUAUGACAGUUUAAAGCCUAGCUACAAGUCUCAGGUAAAUCCUUGGACUGGAUUGAGAGCCUCUCUUCCCAUUUGGAGUGCUUUCCUCUAACUGAUCCCCACCAUUCACCUAUUUUACAUAUACCUCCCCUUCCCUAAUUUGUUUUCUACACUGUCUUGGCCAUCUUUGAGCCAUACCUUUGUUUUAACCCUUUUUGCAUAUUCACAAACCCAUCUGAGCCUAUAAAACCCUUGGACUCAGCUGUACUGGGAGAGAGACCACCCGGCUUUGGGUGGGAAACCACCCCUGCAUUCCCUUUCCACUGAGAGCUGUUUUGUCACUCAAUAAAAUUCUUCUCCAUCCUCCUGACCCUUCAAUUAUCAGCGUAACCUCAUUCUUCUUGGAUGUGGUGCAAGAAUUUGGAACACAUCAAAUGCAGG